GUGAGCGAUCGCGGUGGGCUUGGGCUGGUGACGCGUGCGCCGGCCGGCCGCCGAGGGGCUACCGUUCUGCCUCCGACCGAAAUACUAGGCUUUAGAAUUUCACCAUAUGAAUUUUGGGAGAGAGGAGCACAGUUCAGCCCAUAACUAACACACGACGGAAUGAAGUUGAUAAUAGUGAGACCUUGUUGGUACAAGACUAUGUAACAUAACCUGCGCUUCUCAACAAAGAAUUGCUUUUCUGACUUCUGCACUCAAUAGCAAGACAAAUCUCUCCUCUGCCUUCUCCUUAUCAGACUACUCAACAUGAAGGCAAUAAGAAUGAAGACCUCUAUGUAUAAUAAUUGACUUCCACUUAAUAAAUAAGGUUACUUGGUACACUGGUCGACAAAACCUUGAAAUGUUGAUGUUUAAGGGCUGUUGAUUGCUGGCAGCAAAGAAGUCCAACUGUGCUGGUACCCGAGAUAGCGUCUCCACAUUUUCUUCCAGGAUCAUCACCUUUGUUCUAAAUAGCUCCCACAUAGUGUGAACAGAAGUCAUAUGUUUUAGAUUUUCUGCCUUGGCACCCAGG
rnacentral:lncRNA from 10 species